UCACUGAGAGUAAUGACGGUUAGCAUACACGAAACUCCUGAUUGCAUAAGUAGAAAAUCCGUGCUACACUUACGGUACAACUUUGGAAAAGGAGAGAAUACUAAUGGCUUACGCGUUUACCAAUUCGAAGGGUGUGACCUAUUACCU
rnacentral:misc_RNA from 1 species